GCUUCACUUAUCGAAUGAAGAGACCAAUGGGUUUUCGCGUAGUCUGCGGGCUAUGCACCGUCUAGGUUUGGGAUUUUUUUAAUAUGGCGGUAACCCCGUCUCCACGGGAGGUUGUAUGCAUGUAUAGCCUCUUUGCCGGGGUGUGUGUGUGCAUACGACCGCGUUUUUACCAUCAGGCCUAGUAUAUAUUUUGCUGGGUUUGAUGGCCCGUGGGCACCCAACCGUGCUGACAAACUGAACCAACGGGGUUGCUUCGGCAGCUCCGGAGUCUUGUUUCGAGACAUCUGCCAGAUGGGGAGUUUGGCUGGGGCGGCAUAUCUGUUACACGACAACGCAGGUGUCCUAAGGCGAGCUCAGUGGGAACAGAAAAUCUCACGUAGAACACAAGCGUAAAAGCUUGCUUGAUUAACGAUUUCCAGUACGAAUCGAGACUGCGAAAGCAAGGCCAGCGAUCCUUUGCGAAAUAUAGGAAAUAUGAACAAAUCAUACCAGAGUGUCAGAAUAAUUACCACAG
rnacentral:ncRNA from 1 species